rnacentral:rRNA from 1 species
GACAGAGGCCUCGAGCGUUAGGCGGAAUCACUGGGCUUAAAGCGCGUGUAGGCGGAUCGUUAAGUGUCUUGUGAAAUCCCACGGCUCAACCGUGGAACUGCUGGGCAUACUGGCGAUCUUGGGCCAUUCAGGGGUUGCCGGAACAAGCGGUGGAGCGGUGAAAUGCGUAGAUAUCGCUUGGAACGCCAAAGGUGAAGACAGGCAACUGGGGAUGUGCCGACGCUGAGACGCGAAAGCCAGGGGAGCAAACGGG